rnacentral:rRNA from 1 species
GCUCGUGUCGUGAGAUGUUGGGUUAAGUCCCGCAACGAGCGCAACCCUUGAUCUUAGUUGCCAGCAUUCAGUUGGGCACUCUAAGGUGACUGCCGGUGACAAACCGGAGGAAGGUGGGGAUGACGUCAAAUCAUCAUGCCCCUUAUGACCUGGGCUACACACGUGCUACAAUGGAUGGUACAAAGGGCAGCGAAGCCGCGAGGUGGAGCCAAUCCCACAAAACCAUUCUCAGUUCGGAUUGCAGGCUGCAACUCGCCUGCAUGAAGCCGGAAUCGCUAGUAAUCGCGGAUCAGCAUGCCGCGGUGAAUACGUUCCCGGGC